AACGAACGCUGGCGGCAUGCCUAACACAUGCAAGUCGAACGAGACCUUCGGGUCCAUUGGCGCACGGGUGCGUAACGCGAGGGAACCUGCACUUGGGGACGGAAUAACUCUCCGAAAGGGGUGCUAACACCGGACAAUGUCUACUGACCGAAGAUUUAUCGCCCUUGUAUGGGCCCUCGUUGGAUUAGAUGGUUGGUAGGCUAAUAGCCUCCCAAGGCGACGAUCCAUAGCUGGUCUGAGAGGAAGGUCAGCCACACCGGGACUGAGACACGGCCCAGACUCUUCCGCGAGGCAGCAGUGGGGAAUAUUGGACAAUGGCCGAAGGGCUGAUCCACCUCUGACGCGUGAGUGAUGAAAGCAUUAGAGUUGUAAAGCGCUAUUAACCGGGCUCAUAAUGACGGUACCGAGACAGUAAGCUCCGGCUAACUCCGUG
rnacentral:rRNA from 1 species